GUAGGUGGGGUAAAGGCUCACCUAGGCGACGAUCCGUAGCUGGUCUGAGAGGAUGAUCAGCCACACUGGAACUGAGACACGGUCCAGACUCCUACGGGAGGCAGCAGUGGGGAAUAUUGGACAAUGGGGGAAACCCUGAUCCAGCCAUGCCGCGUGUGUGAAGAAGGCCUUCGGGUUGUAAAGCACUUUAAGCGGGGAGGAAGGCCUUGGGAUUAAUACUCCUGAGGAUUGACGUUACCCGCAGAAUAAGCACCGGCUAACUCUGUGCCAGCAGCCGCGGUAAUACAGAGGGUGCAAGCGUUAAUCGGAAUUACUGGGCGUAAAGCGCGCGUAGGCGGUUUGUUAAGUCGGAUGUGAAAUCCCCGGGCUCAACCUGGGCACGGCAUCCGAUACUGGCUGACUAGAGUGUGGGAGAGGAAGGUAGAAUUCCAGGUGUAGCGGUGAAAUGCGUAGAGAUCUGGAGGAAUACCGAUGGCGAAGGCAGCCUUCUGGCCUAACACUGACGCUGAGGUGCGAAAGCAUGGGGAGCAAACAGGAUUAGAUACCCUGGUAGUCCAUGCCGUAAACGAUGCCAACUAGCCGUUGGGGACCUUGAGUCUUUAGUGGCGCAGCUAACGCGAUAAGUUGACCGCCUGGGGAGUACGGCCGCAAGGUUAAAACUCAAAUGAAUUGACGGGGGCCCGCACAAGCGGUGGAGUAUGUGGUUUAAUUCGAUGCAACGCGAAGAACCUUACCUGGCCUUGACAUAUCCGGAAUCCUGCAGAGAUGCGGGAGUGCCUUCGGGAAUCGGAAUACAGGUGCUGCAUGGCUGUCGUCAGCUCGCGUCGUGAGAUGUUGGGUUAAGUCCCGCAACGAGCGCAACCCUUGUCCUUAGUUGCCAGCACGUAAUGGUGGGAACUCUAAGGAGACUGCCGGUGACAAACCGGAGGAAGGCGGGGACGACGUCAAGUCAUCAUGGCCCUUACGGCCAGGGCUACACACGUACUACAAUGGUCGGUACAAAGGGUUGCUAGCCUGCGAAGGUACGCUAAUCUCAAAAAGCCGAUCGUAGUCCAGAUUGGAGUCUGCAACUCGACUCCAUGAAGUCGGAAUCGCUAGUAAUCGCGGAUCAGAAUGCCGCGGUGAAUACGUUCCCGGGCCUUGUACACACCGCCCGUCACACCAUGGGAGUCUAUUGCACCAGAAGUAGCUAGCUUAACCUUCGGGAGGGCGGUUACCACGGUGUGGUCGAUGACUGGGGUGAAGUCGUAACAAGGUA
rnacentral:rRNA from 1 species